GACGAACGCUGGCGGCGUGCUUAACACAUGCAAGUCGAACGGAAAGGCCCUGCUUUUGUGGGGUGCUCGAGUGGCGAACGGGUGAGUAACACGUGAGUAACCUGCCCUUGACUUUGGGAUAACUUCAGGAAACUGGGGCUAAUAUCGGAUAGGAGCUCCUGCUGCAUGGUGGGGGUUGGAAAGUUUCGGCGGUUGGGGAUGGACUCGCGGGUUAUCAGCUUGUUGGUGGGGUAGUGGCUUACCAAGGCUUUGAAGGGUAGCCGGCCUGAGAGGGGGACCGGCGACAUGGGGACUGCGAUACGGCCCAGACUCCUACGGGAGGCAGCAGGGGGGAAUAUGACACAACGAGCCGAAGCCUGAUGCAGCAGCGCCCCGGGCGGGAUGACGGCCUUCGGGUUAUGAACCGCUUUCGCCUGUGACGAAGCGUUAGUGACGGUAAUGAGUAAAGAAGCACCGGCUAACUACGUG
rnacentral:rRNA from 1 species